AUGGAUGCCAAUUCUGUCGGCACUGAUGUAUCUGCUGAUCAUGUCAUUGCCGAGUUGCUCGAGAUGGGGUUCGAGUUCGACAAGAUCAGCGAAGCCAUUGGUGUUGUCGGUCCGUGCCGUGCUGACGUGGUGGAGUUUGUGCUGAAUGGUUCUGGUAGUGUACAAAGAAAGCCAGGCGGGGGGUCUCAAAGACGCUCUUCUGACAGGAGUGCUAGACUGGCUAAUCCCAGGGGGAAAUUUAAGCAGUCUAGCAUUACUUAUCAUAUCGCGUCAACCACUGGCAGUAAAACCGAGUCUUGUGGCGAGGAGCCAAGUACCUCAUAUUCUUGUUUAGCGGCCAACAUGAACCCUGCAUUGACUGCUGCUAUCUGUUUAAAACCAAAGCCUGAACAUCAGACUUUGCUUGAUGAUUCAAGAGGCGAGUUUGACUGGGCUGACAAAAUUAGUGCUGUUUUGCAAAAGCAUUUCGGAUUCUCCUGUGUGAAGGGUUUCCAAAAGGAAGCCUUGGAUGCUUGGUUUGCUCACAAGGAUUGUCUUGUUCUAGCAGCAACUGGAUCAGGGAAGUCACUUUGCUUUCAGAUUCCAGCUCUUUUGACUACGAAGGUUGUGGUGGUGAUCUCACCCUUGAUUAGUUUGAUGCACGACCAGUGCCUAAAACUUGCAAAACAUGGGAUAUCAGCAUGCUUCCUUGGAUCAGGGCAACCAGAUAAUCGUGUUGAGGGCAAAGCCAUGGCUGGCAUGUAUAAGAUUAUUUAUGUUUGCCCCGAGACAGUUUUAAGACUGAUGGAACCAUUGAAGAAACUUGCCGAAAAACCAGGGAUUGCACUUUUUGCCAUUGACGAGGUUCAUUGUGUUUCUAAAUGGGGUCACGAUUUCCGACCCGACUAUAGGAAACUAUCUGUGCUUCGACAAAAUUUCUGUUCCAGCAAAUUGAAGUUCUUGGAACAUGAUAUUCCUUUGAUGGCAUUGACUGCUACUGCAACUCUCCCGGUACGAGAAGACAUUCUCAAGUCCUUGAAAAUGUCAGGACAUACAGUGGUUGUCUUGACGUCCUUUUUCCGACAAAACCUUCGAUUUAAUGUAAAGCACAGUAAAACCUCUGCCUCAUCAUAUGGAAAGGACUUUCAAGAACUAAUAGGGACUUACAAUGCUUCAAGGAAUUUCAGGGGGAAAAGCCAGAAAAUUCUUCAUGAAGUUGAGCCUGAGUCUGAAAGCAGCUCAUACGAGUCACUAGAUGAUAGUGCAUCAGAUGACGAAGAUGCAAUUUCUGAUAAAACUAAACUUGCCAAGUCUUUCGUAAAAGAAAAUGCUGAACAUGAGCUGGAUCAGUAUCCUGGAGUAGAUGAUUUUGAUGUUUCAUGUGGAGAGUUCCUUGAAAGCUCGCGACCUGAGAGCUUUGCAUUUCCUGUUCAAUCUGCUGAAACUAGUUCAUCAGAAAGUUUGGAUCAAGGUCCUACAAUUGUUUAUGUACCCACGAGGAAAGGAACUGUGGAACUAGCUAACUAUCUGUGCAAAUCAGGCCUCAAAGCUGCAGCGUAUAAUGCAAAGAUGCCUAGAUCACAUUUGAGGCAGGUGCACGAGCAGUUCCAUAGCAAUGCCUUAGAGGUUGUUGUGGCUACUAUAGCAUUUGGCAUGGGAAUCGACAAAUCAAAUGUCAGAAGAAUUAUUCACUACGGUUUACCGCAGAGUUUGGAAGCGUAUUAUCAAGAAGCUGGUCGUGCUGGUAGAGAUGGAAAGUUGUCAGAUUGCACUUUAUAUUGUAAUUUUAUGAGAACACCGACACUGCUUCCUAACAAAAGAAGCGACGAACAGACAAGGGCAGCAUAUAGAAUGCUACGGGAUUGCUUUCACUAUGCUUUGAACACUUCAACAUGUAGAGCCAAAAUACUAGUAAAGUACUUUGGUGAGGAAUUUGGUCCUGACGGAUGCAAAAUGUGUGACGUCUGUAUUAAUGGCCCUCCUGAAAUGCAUGAUUUCAAGGAAGAAGCAGUUGUGUUCAUGAAUGUGCUCCAAGCUCAAGCUGGACAGGCAACUGAAGGCAUGGACUACAACAGUACAGACUGUUAUACAUCUGGAAGGCGAAAUAUUGGGGCGGUGCCUGAUUUCAGAAUGGCAGUCAGUUAUAUAAGAGAGAAGAUUCCUAGGUUUGCCAUGACAGACAAGAUAUGGUGGCAAGGGCUUGCUCGUAUUUUAGAGGACGUGGGAUACAUACAGGAAGCAGCUGAAAUUCCUCGUGUUCUAAUCCAGCAUCCAGAGCUGACAAGAGCCGGGUUAAAUUUUCUGAGUUCACAACCAGACGAGGAAGGCUUAUACGCAUACCCUGAUGCUGCUACGUUACUGGCGAUUAGUAACCCAAAGUCCUUCUCUUCUUCCUCGGAGUGGGGCAGGGGUUGGGCAGAUCCUGAGAUACGCCGCCAGCGUCUUGCGGGGAAAACAGGAAGAAGGAAAAGGAAGAGGGGUUCUCGGAAGCAGCCUGCAGGUUUCACCACUGCUAAAGAGAGACUAUCAGCAAUACUCUCGAAGUCGAAACGCAGAAAGUGA
rnacentral:rRNA from 1 species